rnacentral:rRNA from 1 species
UACGUAGGGGGCAAGCGUUGUCCGGAAUCAUUGGGCGUAAAGAGCUCGUAGGCGGCUUAGAAAGUCAGGUGUGAAACCUCCAGGCUCAACCUGGAGACGCCACUUGAUACUUCUAUGGCUUGAGUUCGGUAGGGGACCAUGGAAUUCCUGGUGUAGCGGUGAAAUGCGCAGAUAUCAGGAGGAACACCGAUGGCGAAGGCAGUGGUCUGGGCCGAUACUGACGCUGAGGAGCGAAAGCGUGGGGAGCGAACAGG